rnacentral:rRNA from 1 species
CCUACGGGAGGCUGCAGUGGGGAAUAUUGGACAAUGGGGGGAACCCUGAUCCAGCCAUGCCGCGUGUGUGAAGAAGGCCCUCGGGUUGUAAAGCACUUUCAGUGAGGAAGAACGCCUGGUGGUUAAUACCCAUCAGGAAAGACAUCACUCACAGUAGAAGCACCGGCUAACUCCGUGCCAGCAGCCGCGGUAAUACGGAGGGUGCGAGCGUUAAUCGGAAUUACUGGGCGUAAAGCGCGCGUAGGUGGCUUGAUAAGCCGGUUGUGAAAGCCCCGGGCUCAACCUGGGAACGGCAUCCGGAACUGUCAAGCUAGAGUGCAGGAGAGGAAGGUAGAAUUCCCGGUGUAGCGGUGAAAUGCGUAGAGAUCGGGAGGAAUACCAGUGGCGAAGGCGGCCUUCUGGACUGACACUGACACUGAGGUGCGAAAGCGUGGGUAGCAAACAGGAUUAGAUACCCUUGUAGUC